rnacentral:rRNA from 1 species
UCUGGCUCAGGAUGAACGCUGGCGGCGUGCCUAACACAUGCAAGUCGAACGUGAAAGUUGAGAUGAUUACUUCGGUUUGAUUCUUGGCUGGAAAGUGGCGAACGGGUGAGUAACACGUGGGUGACCUGCCUCGAAGUGGGGGACAACCAUUGGAAACGAUGGCUAAUACCGCAUUGUCCUAUCCCUGUGGGAACAGGAAUAGGUAAAGCUUUGGCGCUUCGAGAGGGGCCUGCGUCCGAUUAGCUAGUUGGCGGGGUAAUAGCCCACCAAGGCGACGAUCGGUAGCUGGUCUGAGAGGACGAUCAGUCACACGGGAACUGAGACACGGUCCCGACUCCUACGGGGAGCAGCAGUGAGGAAUAUUGCACAAUGGGGGAAACCCUGAUGCAGCAACGCCGCGUGGAGGAUGAAGGCUUCGGUUGUAAACUCCUUUUCUGGGGGAAGAGCAAGGACGGUACCCCAGGAAUAAGUCACGGCUAACUACGUGCCAGCAGCCGCGGUAAUACGUAGGUGGCGAGCGUUAUCCGGAAUUACUGGGCGUAAAGCGCGCGCAGGCGGUUGGUCAAGUCCGGCGUGAAAGCUCCCGGCUUAACUGGGAGAGGUCGUUGGAAACUGAUCGGCUUGAGGCAAUGAGAGGGGUACGGAAUUCCAGGUGUAGUGGUGGAAUGCGUAGAUAUCUGGAGGAACACCAGUGGCGAAAGCGGUACCCUGGCAUUGUCCUGACGCUCAUGUGCGAAAGCGUGGGGAGCGAACGGGAUUAGAUACCCCGGUAGUCCACGCUGUAAACGAUGAAUACUAGGUGUGGGUGAUUAAAACCAUUCGUGCCGAAGCAAACGCGAUAAGUAUUCCGCCUGGGGAGUACGGCCGCAAGGCUAAAACUCAAAGGAAUUGGCGGGGGCCCGCACAAGCAGCGGAGCGUGUGGUUUAAUUCGAUCAACGCGAAGAACCUUACCUGGGUUUGACAUGUGCCGUAGUAGUGAAGGGAAACUGGAACGACCCCUCGGGGAGCGGCCACAGGUGCUGCAUGGCUGUCGUCAGCUCGUGUCGUGAGAUGUUGGGUUAAGUCCCGCAACGAGCGCAACCCUCGUCGUUAGUUACAAGUGUCUAGCGAGACUGCCGGCAUCAAGCCGGAGGAAGGUGGGGAUGAUGUCAAGUCAGCAUGGCCUUUAUGUCCAGGGCUACACACACGCUACAAUGGGCAGUACAAU